UACGUAGGGCGCAAGCGUUGUCCGGAAUUAUUGGGCGUAAAGAGCUCGUAGGCGGCUUGUCACGUCGGGUGUGAAAGCUCGGGGCUUAACCCCGGGACUGCAUUCGAUACGGGCUGGCUAGAGUGUGGUAGGGGAGAUCGGAAUUCCUGGUGUGGCGGUGAAAUGCGCAGAUAUCAGGAGGAACACCGGUGGCGAAGGCGGAUCUCUGGGCCAUUACUGACGCUGAGGAGCGAAAGCGUGGGGAGCGAACAGG
rnacentral:rRNA from 1 species